GAUGAACGCUAGCGGGAGGCCUAAUACAUGCAAGUCGAACGGUAAGGUCCUUCGGGAUACACGAGUGGCGGACGGGUGCGUAACGCGUACGGAAUAUACCUUCAACAGGGAGAUACCUCCGGGAAACUGGAAUUAAUACCCCAUAGUAUUAUAGAUUCGCAUGAAUUUAUGAUUAAAGCUCAGGCGGUUGAAGAUUAUCGUGCGUCUGAUUAGCUUGUUGGUGAGGUAAAGGCUCACCAAGGCGACGAUCCUUAGCUGGUCUGAGAGGAUGAUCAGCCACACUGGAACUGAGACACGGUCCAGACUCCUACGGGAGGCAGCAGUGGGGAAUAUUGCGCAAUGGGCGAAAGCCUGACGCAGCCAUGCCGCGUGUGUGAAGAAGGCCCUUGGGUUGUAAAGCACUUUCAAUUGGGAAGAAAGGUUGCGUGUUAAUAGCACGUAGCUGUGACGUUACCUUUAGAAGAAGCACCGGCUAACUCCGUGCCAGCAGCCG
rnacentral:rRNA from 1 species